CGCUUCCUUCCACCGUUCCCACCUUUCUCAACAGCGCCCCGCCCUCCGGGGAGGAGGCGGCACGACCCGGCCUGCGUGGACGCCGCCCCUCGGCUCUGCGCCCGUGUCCCGGUCUGCGACACCGGGCGACCCCAGACCGCAGGGGGAUCGGGGAAUCCCGCACGGCGCGUGGGGAGCGCCCACGGUCCCCGAGGGGUCUCCUUCCCCCCGAGCCUCGGGAGCGACCCCGGGCCUGGGGGCCGCAUCGCCCCUCCGCCCGGACGGUGCCCAAGCUGAGACCGGCCUCCCUGCGCCGCCCCAGCCGGCCCGGGAACGGGGCGCACCCACCGUGUGAAGCCCCCGCCCAUGGGGAAACCCCGCGCCCCCGCCAGGGCGGACCGAGGGCCCGGGCGCUGCUGCCGCCGCCGCUGGUGCUGCUGCUCGCGGCCGCGCGGUCGGGACGCGCAGAUCAUGCAAAGUACAAGAGAAGACCUCUUCCCAGCCCUCAACAUUCUCAGGGGAGCCUUUCAGGGGCGACACUUCAGCAAAAGUUUCC
ensembl:lncRNA